rnacentral:rRNA from 1 species
AUUGAACGCUGGCGGCAUGCCUUACACAUGCAAGUCGAACGGCGGCACGGGAGCAAUCCUGGUGGCGAGUGGCGAACGGGUGUGUAAAGUAUCGGAACGUGCCCAGUCGUGGGGGAUAACGUAGCGAAAGUUACGCUAAUACCGCAUACGAUCUAUGGAUGAAAGCGGGGGAUCGCAAGACCGCGCGCGAUUGGAGCGGCCGAUAUCAGAUUAGGUAGUUGGUGGGGUAAAGGCUCACCAAGCCGACGAUCUGUAGCUGGUCUGAGAGGACGACCAGCCACACUGGGACUGAGACACGGCCCAGACUCCUACGGGAGGCAGCAGUGGGGAAUUUUGGACAAUGGGCGCAAGCCUGAUCCAGCCAUGCCGCGUGCAGGAUGAAGGCCUUCGGGUUGUAAACUGCUUUUGUACGGAACGAAAAGGUUUGACUUAAUACGUUGGACUCAUGACGGUACCGUAAGAAUAAGCACCGGCUAACUACGUGCCAGCAGCCGCCGUAA